AUUAUAAAUAAAUAAAAGAAAACUCAAAUCCAAAAUAAGUAAAAAAAAGAGAAAAAAAAUACAUAUUCUCUUCCCUCAAUAUAUUGUGUUGAAGUAAAAAAAGAGAGAGAAAAUGAAAUAAAAUAUUUCUUCAAACUAUAGAUUUGGUCAAGACGGUCUUCGGCCAGUCUGUGUCAUGUACGUAUCAAAGAAUUAACAAAAGGAAAAAAUGAGCCUCCUCGCCAAAGGUCUGUUUCGGUGGACGGUGGCCCGGCGGGGGAGCAAUCAGUGCCCAGGACCCUUGGGGCUGGGGCCGGACGAUAACCGCCCAAGCCAACACGACACCGUAUGCUUCGCUUGCUCGUACGCCGACGGGUACAUCUCCAAGUGAUUGACGCUCGCGAAGUCUCCGGGCACCACUCUGGCGGCGUCCACGGUGGAGCUGUUGCUCAGCAACGUCAAAGCGACGACAAGAACGAUCAAAAGGACACUUAAUUUUCCGAAAUUCAUUUUAGAAGUCUCUGGGUUGAAGUGGAAUCUGGAACGAAGGUAAUGUGUUGGACGAUGCGUCUGAGAGAAAUUGGGGUUAAGAGAAGCAAAGGUUGAACGAAAAGGAAGGUGUUUGAUGAUAUGACUGAGGAUAAACAAAGCGUGGAGAAAAAAAACAGUGAAAUGAAGAGAAGGUGUUUGGUGAUACGUCUGAGAGGUGUUAAGGGUGAAAUGAAGAGAAGGUGUUUGAUGAAAUGGCUAAGGGGGUUGAAGCUUAAUUUAUAGGUAAAAUGAAAAAGGGUUGGUGUUUGAAUGGGUGUUGUUGUUGAGAAGUAGAGAAGUAGAGAGAGUAGGUUGCGUGUUGACAAAGGAAUUUUGAAUUUUACUUGGUCUUGUUCUUGCUAUGGCGCUUGGAGUUGGGACUGUAAUUGCUUGAUGCUGAGGCUGUUGGUUUGACUAUUGGCUAUUUCCAGGCCCUUUUUCUUUGUUGGCAAUGGUCAAAUACCGAAUUCAGCGUCGGUACUUCAAUAAAUUUCAUUCUUUCUAUUUUUAAUAAAUCUAAUGCCUAGUAGUCAAUGGUUAAUUAUGCUUAAUAGCUUCUGAUUAUUACUCAACUUUAUCUCAUACCCAAAAUAUGAACUUGAAUAUUUAUACCGUCGACUUUGACAAUCAAAAGGUUACACUUCCUCAUCCUACCUUCUUUUAAGAAACAAUAGUAAAUAAGAGUUGAGUAAACUUUUCUUUUCUU